rnacentral:misc_RNA from 1 species
GUGUGUUGUUCAUUCAUGCUUUAAAGUUGUCUAGUAAGACUGUUUAGCUUUUAGUCUGUCUUAGUUUUACUAGUGUGUGUAAGUUAUACUUCCUCGGCUAGCUAACUUCACGUAGUUAACUUCUUUUUCGUUGACUAGCUAAAUUCAGGGUGUCGAAUUUUUUGUGACGGAGUGCGCACGCAUCUUAAAAUUUUACUCACAUCAUUUUUCCAUAGCGCGCCAAAAGUAGUAUAACUUCAAUAAUUUCACGUUGAUUAAAAAUGUAGGAACCUAAUAUUCCUAACAUUCGCUAGGUUGUAUCUAAAGCUUUAAAACUUUGGAUCAAUAUAUUUUAACGACAUAGUUUAAAUUUAAAAAAAAAACAUUCAAAAACACAAUAUUUGCAUACGUGCUCACUGAAGA